UCUACAGGUCGAGCAAGUCUCGUAAAUUUCACGAUUGCGAGCCACGCUUCACGCAACCGUGUUUGCGUACUUGUGUUUCGAGUUGCGUGGUCGUGCGGAGUUGUCAAAAUUAAAUCAAUAUGUCAAUAUGGCUACUGGGUGUAAAAGAUACAUCUUAUUCUAUCUGUUCUUAAUGAGUUUUAGAUAAUUUUAGUUGUAUUUCUUUGUAAUUUUGUGUUGUACAAAGAUUAAUUUAACAUUUUCUCUGGAAGUAUUAAUUUAGAAAGAUAAUAUGCUUCAUUGGUGUUGUGUUUUGAAGUGUGAAAUGCAAAGUAAUUGUGAUAAAGUUCACUUUUAAACUGAACUAAAUAAGGUAUCUGAGAGACAACAAUGGUUAAAUGCAAUACAAUGUACAGGUUUUACUAGCGAAAUGAAAAUUUUCCUGUCCUGUCUGCUGUAAUCAUUUUAUAUCUGGAAAACCAGCCGACUUAAUCGAUAAUAACAAUCUCCAGAUUGGGUUCCUUCAAUAAAUAUGGGCUAUAAACACAAUGAAAUAAGUUCCCCAAAAUCUAAAAUGGAGUGGUAUCAAAGGAGAAUUAUUAAAGGAAAAAAUAUUCAUAUUGAAAUUAUUUAUAAGGCACUGGACUGUCUUAAAUUCUACAGUAAUACUAGAAUCAGCUGAGAGAAGUGGUCUACAAAAAACCAGGAAGGAAACGGAAUAUGUGGCUACGAAAGGCAAAAGAAAGGUUUACAAAGCAAAUGUGACACAUUUUUUUGAAAUAUUUAGGAAUAUCAGUAAAUUGCAUUAAAAAAAUGUAUGAAAAGAUUUUGUUCAAUAAAAAUGUUUAUAUUUA